UACAGAGGGUGCGAGCGUUGUCCGGAAUCACUGGGCGUAAAGGGCGCGUAGGUGGCGCGACAAGUCCGUGGUGAAAGCUCGACGCUCAACGUCGAGUCGGCCGCGGAUACUGUUGGGCUGGAGCACUGUAGAGGCAGAUGGAAUUCCGGGUGUAGCGGUGGAAUGCGUAGAGAUCCGGAAGAACACCGGUGGCGAAGGCGGUCUGCUGGGCAGUAGCUGACACUGAGGCGCGACAGCGUGGGGAGCAAACAGG
rnacentral:rRNA from 1 species